UAUGUAGGCAGCAAGCGUUGUUCGGAAUUACUGGGCGUAAAGAGUGUGUAGGCGGUGCUCUAAGUUCGGUGUGAAAUCUCCCGGCUUAACUGGGAGGGUGCGCCGGAAACUGGAGUGCUCGAGCGUGGGAGAGGAAAGCGGAAUUCCUGGUGUAGCGGUGAAAUGCGUAGAUAUCAGGAGGAAGACCAGUGGCGAAGGCGGGUCUCUGGACAGUUCCUGACACUGAGGCACGAAGGCCAGGGGAGCAAACGGG
rnacentral:rRNA from 1 species